rnacentral:rRNA from 1 species
GACGAACGCUGGCGGCGUGCCUAAUACAUGCAAGUAGAACGCUGAAGGAGGAGCUUGCUUCUCUGGAUGAGUUGCGAACGGGUGAGUAACGCGUAGGUAACCUGCCUGGUAGCGGGGGAUAACUCUUGGAAACGAUAGCUAAUACCGCAUAAGAGUAGAUGUUGCAUGACAUUUGCUUAAAAGGUGCAAUUGCAUCACUACCAGAUGGACCUGCGUUGUAUUAGCUAGUUGGUGAGGUAACGGCUCACCAAGGCGACGAUACAUAGCCGACCUGAUAGGGUGAUCGGCCACACUGGGAAUGAGACACGGCCCAGACUCCUACGGGAGGGAGCAGGAGGGAAUCUUCGGCAAUGGACGGAAGUCUGACCGGGCAACGCCGCGUGAGUGAAGAAGGUUUUCGGAUCGUAAAGCUCGGUUGUAAGAGAAGAACGAGUGUGAGAGUGGAAAGUUCACACUGUGACGGUAUCUUACCAGAAAGGGACGGCUAACUACGUG